rnacentral:rRNA from 1 species
UACGGAGGGUGCAAACGUUGCUCGGAAUCAUUGGGCGUAAAGCGCACGCAGGCGGAUCGUUAAGUCAGGGGUGAAAUCCCGAGGCUCAACCUCGGAACUGCCUUUGAUACUGGCGAUCUUUGAGUCCGGGAGAGGUGAGUGGAACUGCGAGUGUAGAGGUGAAAUUCGUAGAUAUUCGCAAGAACACCAGUGGCGAAGGCGGCUCACUGGCCCGGUACUGACGCUGAGGUGCGAAAGCGUGGGGAGCAAACAGG